AAGGAGUAGGUUCCUGUUGAGUCCCUGGAGCUCACCGCUUUCCCAUUGCCCCUGGAGGUCAUGGCCGCAAAUUGCAGGAAGGCCUCAGUGACAGCACACAAAGAAGAAUUCAUGGAACGAACCCUAGGAAAUGUCGUGUGCACGCUCAGACAAAGAGGAAGGGAAAGUGUGCUUCUUUGAAGGAUGUCUGCAUGUGGCAGACUCUCUGGCCACAGCAGUAAUCAAACCUACCAAGCGAGUGAGUAAUGAACAGAAAUGUCACAUAUCCAGCAGGACUCUACACACAAAGCAAUCUCCUUAUUGUCUGCCAAAACCCUGCUG
rnacentral:lncRNA from 1 species